rnacentral:lncRNA from 1 species
CCUAUCUUCUCCCUAGAUUACAAAGCUACAAGAUGAUAAUAAAGCACUGGACCGUCUUACUAAGUCAAAAGAGGCAGCUCUACUUGAUGCUGAGAGAACUGUGCAGUCAGCAUUAGCAAAGGCUUCUAUGGUGGAUGACCUUCAGAACAAGAACCAGGAAUUGAUGAAACAGAUAGAAAUAUGCCAGGUACGUUGAUCACAGAAAUGGUGCUUCUGCUGUUAUGAAUGUUAGACCACCUUGUUGUUAUUCUUUUAAUUUCUAAAUCAUCCUUCUUUAACUAUGUUUUUCUUACAAACAUACAUCAGGAAGAAAAUAAAAUACUGGACAGAAUGCAUAGACUAAAGGUUGCAGAGGUUGAAAAGCUUACCCAAACUGUACGUGAGCUUGAAGAGGCUGUUCUUGCUGGCGGUGCUGCUGCUAAUGCUGUCCGGGAUUACCAACGAAAAGUUCAAGAGAUGAAUGUAAUUCAUCCUAGCAAGACUUCAAUAAUAUAUA